AAUCAUCAAUACGUCUAAAAUGUAUCAUGCUCCAGCACAUUAUUUUCUUCUCUAAUUAGGUGUCGGUAUAAGACGGUCGUCAAGCAAAUAAAGAAGGGCGGCCUUGGGGCAGCAUCAUAUCCACCCUCUUCUUGCUCUGAUCGUUCUGUCAUCGUAAAUUUUCACUAUGACUUUCUUGCAUUAUCGUAAAAUACAUAAAAUUGACCCUCUUUUGCAGCGGGCCGGCAUGGGGCGACAUUGUGAGAUGAGAUGCUUGGACAAGGAAACCCAAAUUGAGUGACCCAAAUGAGGGACGAUAGCAGCGAGAAACGCGGGCACAGACUCCCGAUGGCGGAAUAAGGUGGCAAUGUGCCUAUGGUGCAACCACACAUUGCAAGGUCACUCCCGAUGGCGGAAUAAGGUGGCAAUGUGCCUAUGGUGCAUCCGCACAUUGCAAGGUCACCGGCAGGCGCCAAGGCCGAGCCGGAUGGGCCCUGAAAACCGCCAUGAUCACCUAACCAGAGGUGAAAUAUUUUCCGUCGAAAGCACGUAGCAUGUGUAAUUCGUCUUCUUCUUUGUUUGAUUAAAGAUCUCUAUGAAGGAAUGCAUGACGAAUGUUUUCUUUUGGGUACUCUACUACAAAAAUCGAAAGUACAUGGUUUUUAAAAAUCAGGAUGCAGGAAAUUUGAUGGUUCGCGUCGGAGAUGCCCUUAGGCCCUUUGGCAAAAGAGAUGGUCGAAAAACAGGGAGUGGAGUGAAAAUGAUGGUGAGAGGGACAGGGAAGACUAUUGUGGAGAUGAGCCGGUACGUUGUUUUGUA
rnacentral:lncRNA from 1 species